AGCACAAGUCACCUGGUUAGCUUGUUGAAGACUUCCGACAAACGGAGUUUCCCAUGGCUGCCACAGUGGAGGCGUCGGCUGAUCUAUCAGGAGAUAUGGUACGAUGAAAGAAACUUUAUUUCUUACAGCAAAAUACUUGAGAAUUUUAUCUUGCAAAAAUAAAAAUAGCUUAGCUCCUCAAUGGUAUGAUAAAUUCCUACCAAAACCAUAUGUUGAUAUCUUUGAAAACCUUAUACAUAUGCUACUUGUUUUUUCAUUGAGCCUUGUCAAAUUGUUUGUAACCAUUGAAAGAUUUUAAUCAUGCUUUCAUGAUCAAGAUCAUGUACACCCCACAUAUACUCAUGCUGACUUCUACACCGGAAAUUAUGCAAAAACAUGCCUUCCAUCCACA
rnacentral:lncRNA from 1 species